rnacentral:lncRNA from 1 species
AGUCCCGGGGUCCUAAUAGUCGGGACUAUUAGGUCAUCCUGGGUACUCAGGCCUCUAGACUCUAGACUGAGCUGCCUUGGUCACUCGGGGACAGUUGGCAGAGUAUUCGUGGUCAGGGAGGUGACCCGUGGUCAGCAGGAUCAGGCCACCCAGGGACAAAGGGUGCUUCUGCGCCAGGCCCUGGAGAAGGACAGAGCGGUGGGGACUCGGGGUCGGCCGCAGAUAGGGGAGUCACCACCUGCCGGGUAAGAGGGGAUUCAUCACAGGGGCCGAGGCAGGACGAGCGCCUCCUCCCAGCUCAGGCCGGGUCCCAGGCUGGACUCCUCCCUGUCCCCCAGGGCCGGCCUCCUUCAGAGCUGGCUCGGGACAAGCCUGGGAUGGAAAGGGGAAGUAGAAAGAGCUCAGGGCACAGGGAUUGGGGCCGAUCCUGGGGUCUGAGCUGUGGGGUGAGGAGGGGAUCGCCUGUCCCCUGGGGAGUGACGAUGUCACCCAGCCGUGGCCGAUGCUGGAGGUCAUGAUCUGAACCUUGACAGGUAACCCCAGGGCUGCCUUCCUGUUCUUCCCCUGGGCUGUCAGGGGACACCCUGCUCUGUUUUGUUUUUAAGUGACCAGAGACAGACACGUAACAUAGAAAACGCUAUCACUUUGAUCAUUUGUUUCAAAUGGAAGAAAAACCGACACAAGUGGGUUUCUGGUGGGAAGCGCUUCCCUCCAACUCCAGGAACUCCAUCAAGGAGUUAAGAAAGCACAGAGUCCUGUCAGCAGCCAGAGACAUGCUGGGCAGUGGUGACCUCGGAGCCACCCCGCGACAUGGAGAUCUCGAGCUCCGCCCUCCGUGCAGGGAGAUUCCUUUUGGAAAAAAUCUCUGGCAGAGUGGGAGGGUGUAGGGGCCAGCCACAUACAUGCUUGCUGCUAGGACCCCUUAGCCAUGGGCAGGGUGGGCACAGUGACCAGGGCCAGGAAACUUACAGGCCCACCAAAGAGUGUCAAUUUCAGUCAGAAGAAAAAAAAUUGAACUAUAUGAUAUUAAUAUAUUUAUCAUUAUACCAGUAACUCAUAAAAUAAAACUUCAAACUUUUUUUAUUUUUUGAGACAGAGUCUUGCUGUGUUGCCAGGCUGGAGUGCAGUGGCUCCAUCUCGGCUAACUGCAACCUCCUCCUCCCAGGUUCAAGCCAUUCUUCUGCCUCAGCCUCCCGAGUAGCUGGGACUACAGCCACCCACCACCACGCCUGGCUACUUCUUUGUAUUUUAGUAGAAACAGGGUUUCACCGUGUUGGUCAAGAUGGUCUCGAUCUCCUGACCUCGUAACCUGCCCGCCUUGGCCUCCCGAAGUGCUGGGAUUACAGGUGUGAGCCACCGCACCCAGCAAACUUCAAACUUUUUAAUGGAACAAGGACACACAGACAUUAAUCCCCAGUGUCCAUCAAAGUUGCAAUGCAGCCCUAACGCCUGGCAUCCUUGAAAGGGACGGGCAUUUAGUAAUGAGAUAUGCACAGCAGCAUAGUCAGCUGUGUGGUGCAUUCUCAGCUGUGCCUCAGCAGCCCUGAUGCAGACAUCCAGAAGGAGCACAGCCACUUUAUCCAGAGCAAUCAGCCAUGACUGCCUUUGCACUGUCCAUGCUCUCAGCCCACCACCUCCUCCCCCUGCCAUUGCAGUGGCUAACACUGGAGACGAAGACCAAGACACCACCGCCUUUCUCCAGUACCACUCAAAUCAGCACAGGCAAGGACAAAGGCCUCAAUCCACAACUGCUGAAGAUGGACCCUGGCCACAUGGGAUGGUCAGACACGCCUGCCCAGCUAUCUGCAGGCGAAGAGGCUCAGAAGAGGUUUAGGGGCCUGAAGGACAUCUUGCUUCCAUGUCCAUAUGAGCAGGCUAUUUCUGCUCCAUGAGUCAAUUUUGCCAUAUAAAAUACUUAAUUUCAGCCA